AUUGAACGCUGGCGGCAGGCCUAACACAUGCAAGUCGAACGAGUGGCGGACGGGUGAGUAAUGUCUGGGAAACUGCCCGAUGGCGGGGGAUAACUACUGGAAACGGUAGCUAAUACCGCAUACCAUCGGAUGUGCCCAUAUGGGAUUAGCUAGGAGGUGGGGUAACGGCUCACCACGGCGACGAUCCGUAGCUGGUUUGAGAGGACGACCAGCCACCCUGUGACUGAGACACGGCCCAGACUCCUACGGGAGGCAGCAGGGGGGAAUAUUGCACAAUGGGCGAACGCCUGAUGCAGCCAUGCCGCGUGUAUGAAGAAGGCCUUCGGGUUGUAAAGUACUUUCGGCGGGGAGGCGUUACUCGCAGAAUAAGCACCGGCUAACUCCGUGCCAGCAGCCGCGGUAAUAC
rnacentral:rRNA from 1 species